AUUGAACGCUGGCGGCACGCUUAACACAUGCAAGUCGAGCGGUAACAUGUGAUGUAGCAAUACAUCAUGAUGACGAGCGGCGGACGGGUGAGGAACACGUAGGAACCUGCCUGGAAGAGGGGGAUAACCAAGGGAAACUUUGGCUAAUACCGCGUAAACUCGAGAGAGUAAAGUUGCCUCGCAAGAGGUGACGCUUCUAGAGGGGCCUGCGUCCGAUUAGCUAGUUGGUGAGGUAAGAGCUCACCAAGGCGAUGAUCGGUAACUGGUCUGAGAGGACGACCAGUCACACUGGGACUGAGACACGGCCCAGACUCCUACGGGAGGCAGCAGUGGGGAAUCUUGGACAAUGGGGGCAACCCUGAUCCAGCGAUGCCGCGUGGGUGAAGAAGGCCUUCGGGUUGUAAAGCCCUUUAGGUUGGGACGAAGUAAUGUGGAAGAUAAUGCCAUGUUAUUGACGGUACCGACAGAAUAAGCACCGGCAAACUCUGUGCCAGCAGCCGCCGUAAAAC
rnacentral:rRNA from 1 species